rnacentral:rRNA from 2 species
UACAGAGGGUGCAAGCGUUGCUCGGAUUUACUGGGCGUAAAGCGUACGCAGACGGUGAGAAAGGUCGGAUGUGAAAGCCCCGGGCUCAACCCGGGAACUGCAUCCGAAACCAUCUCGCUAGAGUAUGGGAGAGGGAAGCGGAAUUCCUGGUGUAGAGGUGAAAUUCGUAGAUAUCAGGAGGAACAUCUGCGGCGAAGGCGGCUUCCUGGCCCAUUACUGACGUUCAGGUACGAAAGCGUGGGUAGCAAACAGG